UAGAGUUUGAUCCUGGCUCAGGACGAACGCUGGCGGCGUGCCUAAUACAUGCAAGUCGAACGCUGCUUAAGAAGAAACUUCGGUUUUUUCUUAAGCGGAGUGGCGGACGGGUGAGUAACACGUGGGGAACCUAUCCAUCAGCGGGGGAUAACACUUGGAAACAGGUGCUAAUACCGCAUACGGCUUUUUUUCACCUGAAAGAAAGCUCAAAGGCGCUUUACAGCGUCACUGAUGGCUGGCCCCGCGGUGCAUUAGCCAGUUGGUGAGGUAACGGCUCACCAAAGCAACGAUGCAUAGCCGACCUGAGAGGGUGAUCGGCCACACGGGACUGAGACCGGCCAGACCCCUU
rnacentral:rRNA from 1 species